GACGAACGCUGGCGGCGUGCUUAACACAUGCAAGUCGAACGGAAAGGCCCUGCUUUUGUGGGGUGCUCGAGUGGCGAACGGGUGAGGAACACGUGAGUAACCUGCCCUUGACUUUGGGAUAACUUCAGGAAACUGGGGCUAAUACCGGAUAGGAGCUCCUGCUGCAUGGUGGGGGUUGGAAAGUUUCGGCGGUUGGGGAUGGACUCGCGGCUUAUCAGCUUGUUGGUGGGGUAGUGGCUUACCAAGGCUUUGACGGGUAGCCGGCCUGAGAGGGUGACCGGCCACAUUGGUACUGAGAUACGGACCAGAACACUACGGGGGGCAGCAGUGGAGAAUAUUGGAAGAUGAGAUGAAGCCUGAUGCAGCAACCCCGCGUGCGGGAUGACGGCCUUCGGGUUGUAUACCGCUUUCGCCUGUGACGAAGCGUGAGUGACGGUAAUGGGUAAAGAAGCACCGGCUAACUACGUG
rnacentral:rRNA from 1 species